rfam:Microbacterium oleivorans strain RIT293 contigs1, whole genome shotgun sequence.
GGGGAUGAUCGGUUUCGACAUCGCCUGUGACUCUGCGAGAAGCGGGCCGAGGAUGCAGGGUUAUCUCGUAAACGAUCUCUGCGAACCAAUAACUGCCAAUAAGAAGCAGUCCGACUUCGCCCUCGCUGCGUAAGCAGCUAGCUCGAGUCCGUCAGUCCGUGAGUGAUCCCCUCAUGGUCCCUGGCGUCAUUUAAGGGAUCUCGCUGCGCGGCGUCGCCUGAGCGUCACGCGGGACUUUUUCAGGCUGGGCUCGUCGACUCAUGUGUCUGUACGAAGUGUCGGGGCCGAGUAGAACGCCAUUUACAGACUGCGCCCGGAGAAGACGCCGUCUCUCAGCGAUGGACGGGGGUUCGAUUCCCCCCAUCUCCACGA